rnacentral:rRNA from 1 species
CCCUUAGAUGUUCUGGGCCGCACGCGUGCUACACUGACAUGUUCAACAAGUUUCUCCUAGUUCGACAGGACUGGGAAAUCUUUGAACGCAUGUCGUGAUAGGGAUAGAUCAUUGCAAUUAUUGAUCUUGAACGAGGAAUUCCUAGUAAACGCGAGUCAUCAGCUCGCAUUGAUUACGUCCCUGCCCUUUGUACACACCGCCCGUCGCACCUACCGAUUGAAUGUUUCGGUGAAGAUUCCGGAUAGGACUGAUUUGAUUUAUUUCAUUUCUGACCUAAAAGCUAUCUAAACCUCAACAUUUAGAGGAAGGUGAAGUCGUAACA